CUACCCUCCUGCGCGCGCGCACACACACACACACACACACACUUGCCCAGAGCACAAACCCCACUAGCCCUCCAGGAGCAGGGGAGGCGGUGGGGCGGGAGACGCUGCCACCCUAACCAGGGGCUGCUCUCCGGAUUCGCUGCAGCCCUGCCCUGGCGCUCGGUGCGCUCGUUUCCUUAGAGCUCCCAGACUGUUCAAACAAUCCUUACAAAGAAAGAAACAUCUUUAACGCGUUACUAAACUAAGCCAAAGUUCUGGCGGCGUGUGGCGCAAAACCAGACAGGCAGCGCGCGCGGUCUCCUUCCGACUCCCGCGUCACCGCGCGAAAACAGCCCUUUCCAGCGCCACGGCCACCGCAGACCCAGAGAGCGUGAAACCCAGAGAAGACCUGCUGCCCGCAGCCAGCUCCCUCCGCUCCGAGAAGCUAUAAUCCCUCCAUGGCACCGCGUCCCGAGCCAAUGAACAAGACUCCUCUGACAAGGCGCCUCUAAUUUCAGGGACCCUGGCAAGCCGCAGGAAGCAUUCGGUCCACGCCGCAUAAAAACUAUUAACGUGGGAUGGCCGCGGUUUAAAAGGCCGGCUGCUGCCUCGAGGCCAGGCACAUGCAGGGAGCGGUCGCACGCAGCCCGCACUGGGCAACCGCCGGGAGCCUGGGCCCUCCGCCGGACCGGGUCAGCAUCCCAGCGUCAGGCUUGUCUAGGUAGAGAUGGACUAAGAUUGCCAACCAGUAUGAGAAGAGCCUGCUUCUGAGGUUUGAAUACAAAUCAAACAUAAACCUUAACUUCAUCUGGAGCUGGAGUCCAGAAGACAAACAGAAACAAAACAACUUCUGAAAUGGCUUACACGGACUAACGAAUGUGUUCUUUGAUGGAUGAUGAAAAAGCUCUCUAAGUUAAAGAGGCACAGCUGAGUGGAUUGCUGUGGUGGGUAAUAAGAUUCCUCUGGUUCAGAAGUACCUGAUUGUAAUGAAAUAAUCCAU
rnacentral:lncRNA from 12 species